UACAGAGGUCUCAAGCGUUGUUCGGAUUCAUUGGGCGUAAAGGGUGCGUAGGCGGCGCGGUAAGUCGGGUGUGAAAUCUUGGAGCUUAACUCCGAAACUGCAUUCGAUACUGCCGUGCUUGGAGGACUGGAGAGGAGACUGGAAUUUACGGUGUAGCGGUGAAAUGCGUAGAUAAUCGUAAGGAAGACCAGUGGCGAAGG
rnacentral:rRNA from 1 species